AAUUUCAUCCUACACCCCGUUCUUUUUUCCUGUGUCCUCUCCGCUGUCAGUUCCUGUUUCUGCCUCUCGCCUGUGACAGCGAGGCUGGGGAGGAACCUCAGCCCUUCUUGGGGCUGCCCCCUCUUUCUUGUUGCAGCGGAGUCCCUUUAUGGGGGGAUGUACACGUGGAAGGGGACUGAAAGAAGUGCUGCGCUGCUGUCCAGGGCAAUUUAACACGUUCUGUGCCUUCUUUGGGGGUAAGGAAAAGAGGGUGAAGACUCGGGGCUAUGGUGUCAUUUGGGGCACCCCAAGGUCCCUAGGAGAGGGAGCCACACUGCGGUGGAGGAGCAGUCAUCUUUCUAUACAAACAUUGAUCCACUCUCCAGAGGAUUAUUGUGAGCAGAUGUGAGUUCUGCUGUCCCUUUGGACUGAGAAAGACAGAGGUUUUUUCCCCAAGUUCCUUUUGAACCUGUCCUGCACCUGUUACAAGUCCUCAGUCUCCUGCAGUUUUGUGGGUCAGUAACAUGUAAAACAGCACAACACCCUGGCACGCUCUGCUCAUGAGAGGAGAUGAGAAGAAUCCUUCUGCUCACACCAGACCUGCAGCUGCCAAACCUCACCAAAGCACCUGAGGAGCCCCCAGGGACUGAUGGCACAGAAGGGAGGUGAUGGAGCACAGCACAGCAGGCAGCCUGCCCUCCAUCCAGGUGUGAAGAAGGCAGGGCUGGGAACUGCCAGCAACAUCCCACCAGGUCUGGCUCAUGGUGCCACCCUGAGUGUUUCCCCUGCCUCUGGGCAGUCCCAGCUGCUGCAGCUCACUUGACAGAGACUCACUGCCUAUCCUGUGCUUGGCUGCACUGGAGAGGAUGAAGCCGAGGACAGCAGUGGUUGCCUUCACAUCCCCUGACUGCAGACGGGAGGGAGGGUGAGCUCUGUCACCUUGGGACGGCAUCCGCAGACUCACUGCUGCCCAUCUCUGGAGCAUGGCUCCACCUGGGGAUGGUGGUAAGGACAGCAGUGCUCACCUAACUUUGCACCUGAGGUCAGCUUCAGGAUCUUGUCAUACUGUGGGAGAGCGGAGCUUCUCAGUAAACACCAGCUAACACACUCGCUACCAGUAUUAACACUAACAAUUCUUACCUAAAUAUUAAUACUAAUAACAUUUACUAUGCAUAUUAUUAAUGCUAGUAGAGGCCAGUACCAUUCCUAACGCUGAGGCUUGCAUGAAGAACACAAAAUUAAUUAAUGUUACUGAUUAUGCUAUAGUGGUGUUGAAAUACUUGGCCUCCACUGCGGUAACUCCACACUUACCUCGAUGGCCUCCCCCAGCAGGUCCUGCAGCACCUGGAUGCAGAUCAGCUUAAGUUUCACUGAUGUGAUAAACAGAGUUCACUCUUUAAAUUUUUUAAAAGUUUAAUAAAGGAUAAAAGGACAAAAGAAUCCAGCACUGGGGUGCUUCUGGCACACAGCCAAAGAGCACAGAGGUAGCUUAAAAUCAUGUUCACUGUAUAUGGUUACAUUGCUGGGGUUACAUGCAUAUUCAUUAGCUUAUACAUUAUUCAAACAUUCCUUUGAGUUUUUGAUGUUCCAGGAACUCUCUUGUUUGGUUUUAACCUCUGACUUGGCUGCAGAACAUUCUGUAAAUUCGGUCUACGUAUUUUAUUUUUUUCUGUGGUUUUAUCCUGUUGCUUCACACUCCCUGAUAACACCAAUAAGAGUCGAUAAAUCCUUCCUGCAUGCUUUAGCUCUUUUUGUCACUGUUACCAGUUGGUAGGGCCAGUCUGCAGAUACAAGAAAGAGAAUUGCUUUGCACCACUCUCUGAGUUAGUUACAUAGAAGUAUUUUAGUUUCUAUUUUAACAUUUUGCUAAAGCCUACGAUAUAUUUAUCACGCUACUAUUUAUAUGAAAUAUACACCCAUACAUAAACUGGCAUAUUACACUAUACAAAGCAGUUAAAAGUAAGUAUAAGUUGUACCAUAUCAAAAUAUUUGUGAUGCAAAAAGCUAAUCUAUGAAUGUGAAA